CUGCAAUAGCAUAAAUCCAGUAUGCCGUCCAUUUUAUAAUUAAAUCCAUUUAAUUUUUGUAUUUUUAUACAUAAUUGAGGCUCCAAAAACGCGAACCAACUUGAGGUUUCCAUAACUAUGACAGCAGCGCCAACGUCAGUUUUUUAAUCACAGCCACGUGUAAAUGUUUACUUGUUACGGGCAGUGACAGAUCAAUUCCGUUUAAUCACGCACGGAGUAAUUAUAAAUAUAAACAAAAAAAUAUAUAGCAGAAUUAAGAUAAAAGAUAAAAGAAAAAUGCCGCUGCAAAGAAAUAAUCAACCAAUUCAUAAGAAAGUUGAAACCUGGGUUGUCAAUAAUGUAUAUAAGUACAAUUUUAUCGAUGAUUCAAAAGAGGAUGAUGUUUUGGUUCAUGAUAUUCAUUCUGGAUUCGAUGGUAAAGAUAA